GUCUAUGGUCAUACCACCCUGAAUGCACCCAAUCUUGUCUGAUCCCGGAAGCUAAGCAGGGUCGGGCCUGGUUAGUACUUGGAUGGGAGACUGCCUGGGAAUCCUGGGUGCUGUAGGCU
ensembl:rRNA 5S_rRNA 5S ribosomal RNA